GAUCAAUCCGACCAUCUUCGUGAUAGGUUUCGAACCGAUCAAAUUUGACAUUAAAUUAUCGCUUCCGUCGUAUGUAUCAACCGUGCGGCCAUCUUCGUGAUAGGCUCAACAUGGGUAUAAAAAAAAAGAACCGUGCGGCCAUCUUCGUGAUAGGCUCGACAUGGGUAUAAAAAUCGUGCGGCCAUCUUCGUGAUAGGCUCGACAUGGUUAAAAUGACCAAUCGAAUCGGGUGUUUCAUUACGUAAACCGUACGGCCAUCUUCGUGAUAGGCUCGAUACGAUUAAACCCCGCGCACUUGAACAAAAUGUGAUAAUAAAAAAAAAAA
rnacentral:lncRNA from 1 species